rnacentral:rRNA from 1 species
GUUGAACGCUGGCGGCAGGCUAACACAUGCAAGUCGAGCGGAGAUGAGGUGCUUGCACCUUAUCUUAGCGGCGGACGGGUGAGUAAUGCUUAGGAAUCUGCCUAUUAGUGGGGGACAACAUUCCGAAAGGAAUGCUAAUACCGCAUACGUCCUACGGGAGAAAGCAGGGGAUCUUCGGACCUUGCGCUAAUAGAUGAGCCUAAGUCGGAUUAGCUAGUUGGUGGGGUAAAGGCCUACCAAGGCGACGAUCUGUAGCGGGUCGGAGAGGAUGAUCCGCCACACUGGGACUGAGACACGGCCCAGACUCCUACGGGAGGCAGCAGUGGGGAAUAUUGGACAAUGGGGGGAACCCCGAUCCAGCCAUGCCGCGUGUGUGAAGAAGGCCUUAUGGUUGUAAAGCACUUUAAGCGAGGAGGAGGCUACUGAGACUAAUACUCUUGGAUAGUGGACGUUACUCGCAGAAUAAGCACCGGCUAACUCUGUGCCAGCCGCCGCAGUAAUAC